GACGAACGCUGGCGGCGUGCUUAACACAUGCAAGUCGAACGGUGAAGGGACUGGUUUUGCUGGUCCUGGAUGAGCGGCGAACGGGUGAGUAACACGUGAGUAACCUGCUCCCUUCUGCUGGAUAACCGCAUGAAAGUGUGGCUACUACGGGGUAUUCUGGGUCUGUCGCAUGGUGGGCCUGGGAAAGAUCGCGCCUUUUUUGGUGUGUUUGGUGGGGGAUGGGCUGGCGGACUAGCAGCUUGUUGGUGGGGUGAUGGCCUACCAUGGCGGUGACGGGUAGCCGUCCGGAGGGGGAGGAGGGAAACACUGGGAGUGAGACGCGGCCGAGACUGCAAGGGGAGGCAGGAGUGGAGAAUAGUGCACAAUGGGCGAAAGCCUGAUGCAGAGGCGGCGCGUGAGGGAUGGGGGCCUUGGGGUUGUGACCCUUUUUCGCCAGAGAAACAGGCCUGCCUCUUUAUGGGGGUGGGUUGACGGUAGCGGGAUAAGAAGCGCCGGCUAACUACGUG
rnacentral:rRNA from 1 species